rnacentral:rRNA from 1 species
UACGAAGGGGGCUAGCGUUGCUCGGAAUUACUGGGCGUAAAGCGCACGUAGGCGGCUUGUUAAGUCAGGGGUGAAAUCCUGGAGCUCAACUCCAGAACUGCCUUUGAUACUGGCGAGCUUGAGUUCGGGAGAGGUGAGUGGAACUGCGAGUGUAGAGGUGAAAUUCGUAGAUAUUCGCAAGAACACCAGUGGCGAAGGCGGCUCACUGGCCCGAUACUGACGCUGAGGUGCGAAAGCGUGGGGAGCAACAGG